rnacentral:rRNA from 1 species
AUUGAACGCUGGCGGCAUGCCUUACACAUGCAAGUCGAACGGCAGCACGGGUGCUUGCACCUGGUGGCGAGUGGCGAACGGGUGAGUAAUACAUCGGAACGUACCUUAUCGUGGGGGAUAACGCAGCGAAAGCUGUGCUAAUACCGCAUACGCCCUGAGGGGGAAAGCGGGGGAUCGCAAGACCUCGCGCGAUUAGAGCGGCCGAUGCCUGAUUAGCUUGUUGGUGGGGUAAAAGCCCACCAAGGCGACGAUCAGUAGCUGGUCUGAGAGGACGAUAAACCACACUGGGACUGAGACACGGCCCAGAAUCCUCCGGGAGGCAGCAGUGGGGAAUUUUGGACAAUGGGGGCAACCCUGAUCCAGCAAUGCCGCGUGAGUGAAGAAGGCCUUCGGGUUGUAAAGCUCUUUUGUCAGGGAAGAAACACCGGCUCUAACACAGUCUGGGAAUGACGGUACCUGAAGAAUAAGCACCGGCUAACUACGUGCCAGCCGCCGCAGUAA